AAAAGCUUUCUUUAAUUGAAUAAUUGAAUUUAAUUUUUUAGUGCAAAAGCAAAAAUAUAAAUUAGGGACAAGAAGACCCUAUGAAUUUUUUAUUAAAUUUUAUAAAUAGUUUUAUAAAAUUUAAUUUAAUUGGGGUGAUGAAAAAAGAAUAAAUAUCUUUUUUUUAAAGAAAAUUGGUUCCGUUUUUAGCGAUUAAAUGAAAAAAAUACUCUAGGGAUAACAGCGUAAUAAUUUUGGAUAGUUCAUAUAGAUAAAAUAGUUUGCGACCUCGAUGUUGGAUUAGGAUUCUUUUUUGGUGAAGAAGUUAAAAAAAGAAGUUUGUUCAACUUAUAAUUUCCUACUUGAUCUGAGUUCAGACCGG
rnacentral:rRNA from 1 species